CGGGGACUGGACGCGAGCGCGGAAGGAAGUGGAGCCCCACGUGCUGACCAGGACCGGGCGGCCGGCGCUCGCAGCGCUGCGCCUUGAGCAAGUCUCAGCCACCCAGGACCCUGGCGCGAGAAAAGGAAGAAAUACUCCACCCGCCACCACCAUUCCACCCUGAGAUGGGACUGCAAGCCCAGGCGGCUGCGGGAGGUGAAGAUACCCUGCUAACCAGAGGGCUGGUGGCCGCUGAGGAAAGCUCAUCCUCCUGAGGAACGUGACAGGGCUGGAAAAAUCCCAGCAAGGCCCAAAUUCCCUCGAGUCAGAUAAGGGCGCGCAGGACGUGCAGACUUGCACCUGGGCCUCUGGAGGCGGGGCUGGGGCCAGAGCCAGUGGGAGGAAGCGGCUGUUAAGUGAGAGGGACAAGACACGCUGACCGCCCCCUCUGCUCCUCGCCCCUUCCUCCCCUUUCUCACACCCCCCACAGGAGCCGUUAUUGUAGCCACGUACUCCGAGAUUCUAACUUUGUGAGGUAGGGAAAUGGGCGCACAGCCAAGCCAGUAGGAAAGAAGGAGAGCCACUAGCCGGAAUCACCGGCCAUCUCUUACCACCCUUCCCGCCUACAGGGUCCUCCAGGCUACCUGCCUCCCAGCCCUAUCCUGGACGGCGCCUCCCCCCAUUCCUCCUUCCCAGAUGUACAGAGGGAAAUAGACAGUUGGGCCUGGCAGGAACUGCUUUAUGCAAGUCCACAGGAAGUGUGGAACCAAACCCCCGCAGGCAGUGCCAGACCUCACCCCAAACUCCCUGCGUAGGCCUGGACCGUCAGGUGACUUCCUCCCUCCAAAGUGAGAGGGUGGGGAGGUGAAGGGAGGGAACCUCUGCCAGAUCUCGCCCUGAAUUUGGAGAAUGUGGGGCCAGAUUCCAAACAGUCUCCCUGGUGACUCUGGGCAGGAAUGCAUCUGGAACAGGAAGCCGGGUCAACAGGAAUGCGGUGUCUCAGCACCAGGCUUUGUGUGGGCUCAAAAAAACGCCCCCGACACACCUCUCCAGGCGGUGCCCUCCCAUGCAGAUACGCUGGAGGCCCCCUCAUGGCGGACCACACAUUUGCCUCCUAUCUGCCUUCUGCUGCUGUGACUGUGGCAGCCCCUUGCCCAGACCUAGGUCAGGCCUUCCCACAGCAGAGGGCUCUAUGGCCCCACAUGACCAGCUUGGCGGUCUCUCCUGCACCAGGCCUACUAUCCGAGGAGAUCCCUGCCCCUUGAGUGAUGUCUGAAGAAAUGAAAGGGGAGGACAGCCACCCCCCACCCACCAGGGGGGCAAGCAGCUACCUUGAGUUCCCAAGGCACAUGGUAGCCAAGCAGAGCCAUCCUUCAAGUUGAGACCAGGGAUGCCCAGAGGCCCCUUAACCUCUUAGGGAAGUGCCAGCUUCAGGAAGCACAUUUCCUGCAAGCACAGCCCUGAGCUGGCUCUGUGGGAAGAAGGGCAAAGCCAAGAACCUGGGGGCAGCUCCUGCCAGACUAGAGAUGGCUGGGAACCAUGGUGACCUCCCUUACGGCCUGGAAGGCUGGUGAUGGAGGGGCAAGAGCACCCCAGGGCCAGUCAGGAACCAGUUUCCAUCCCCAGCCCCCUCCCAUUACCAGCCAACUUGUCCCUGGACCACUAACAUCUCCAUGUCCUCAGUUUCUUCAUCUGUAGAACAAAGAUGACAACAGGACCCACCUCAGAAUUGUGAGGAUUGGAGCUACUGCACUUAGCCAUCCCUUGCACCAUAGAAUUAUCUAGCUGUGGAACUUUGGGGAAGCCACUUUCUCAUGCCUAAAUGAAGGGAGCUGUGUUAGAUGCUCUCCUGGGCCUCAUCUAACUCAAAUCUGUAAUCAUCUCUGAAGUUAUUCACCCAAAUUCAGGAAAAAAUAACGAGGGCACUGCCCUGGACAGAUUGCAACGGUUUAAUCGGGCACCUCUCCCCCACCCCCUCUGUGUCUGGGUCACAUAGGGUGGGUGCUCCCAGCUGCCUUGUUGUGGGGUUGAGGGCAGGGAUAAGUCAGAAGCUGUCUCCAACCUUCUCUGCUGACUGACGGGUUUGGCUAACAGCUCCAUCUCCCAAGGAAGUACGUUCACAAGCUCAGGUUAGCUGUAUGGCAGCAGAGCGCUCUGGAACUGAAACCCUCUGGGCCCCUGGGAGGACAGCAGGCUGCCACAGCUAAAGACGUGGAUUUAGCUUAUACCGUGCAGCCGUGGAAAGGCGGUCAGCAACUCAUUGGCAUCCCGAUUCCCCAAGCGUCCCUGCUCCCCAUUUGCUCUCCUCCAUGCCUUAGGAAGCCACUGGCCCAGCAUGGUUUGUUACAGGCAGAGAAUCAGACCAUGUUACUGUUCCAACCCACCUUUCCAACUUUUUCCAGCCUGUCACUUAGGUGCUUCAAAUUUUCAGAGAGCCCAGAGCCUCAAGGUGAACUUCAAACUGUUUCUCCUGGCAUGCAAGGCUCCUAUAUCCCCUCUCCAGUCUUAUUUUGGUAUCCCUUUCAGCCACUGCCCUAAACUGAGCAAUCCUCUUGCACUCACUACCCAUCACUCAGCUUUUCUCUACUGCACCUGUCAAGUCCUGUUCAUCUUUUCACAUAGACUGUCCCUGUUCUGACCUCACAGGGCACCCCUGUGUUCCACAUUAGCUCUUAGCACUCAUUACCACAAGCAUUAGUUUGUUCGUGCUGGCUCAAUCAGUGCCACGUGACAAUUAGCUUCAGAAAAGCAAGCAAAAUGCUGUAUCUUUCUGUGUUCCCCCUGUGCCAGAACCAGUUUUUAGAAGGGCGAUGUCCCUUUUGUGAGCAUUCUCUGCUGCCAUGAGCGAUACCUGACACUAGGUGGCGCCGGGAAGGCGAUCCCGUUUGGACCAGUUCUGGCCUCAUGAAGAAAGCCUGAUGCACAGAAAGCUUUAAUCUUUUCUAUGAAAAUAAAGGCAACCAUUCAGGCAAAAGGCUCCCAGGAACCUCAGAAGUACCCGGUUCAUUGCAGUAAAACAUCUCUACAAAAGCAC